ensembl:lncRNA
CUGAGGUCUAAGUUUAGAGGCUGAGUGUUAUUCAGGAAGCAGCCUGGGGCCCAGGAAAGGCAUGAGAAUUCACCACUGGCCACUAUCUCUUUGUACUUCCUGUGGACUAGUCUGUUACUCAUGGGCAGUCCUUUAGGUGACAAUUAAUCAACCUUGGUUGGCAGAUGAGAAAAAUGAGACUCUGAGAGACCAGCCAACUAGCCACACAGCAGAACUCUCAGCACCACAUGACGUAAGAAUGGCAGCGGCUUCAGGCUGAGGGCAAUAGGUCUCCCAAGGGAGCAGCAGCAUGGAUGAUGAUAAAAAAACACUCUGCAGAACAUCUCCGAGCCUCUCCUUCAGUCCCCAGACUCCUCUCUGGCUUUCCUCAGCCCUCCCAUGGCUUGUUCUCUGGAUCAUGAUUGAAAUGGGCCAGAAGCCAGAGAGCUACAGUCCUCAAAGUCCUCAAAUCCCCUGCGUGCCAAAGAGAGACACCGCCACAAGACCUGGUGUCUAGAAGAGAAACCUCAGCUGUAGUGCUACUCAUGGUCUGAGGGCAGAUGCGUGGGCUUCGGCAUCGGAGCUUCAGGCUCUUUCUGUGCUUUGAUUCCAGAGGCUCAGGUGUCUUGUGGUUUCAGCCACUCCCGACUUCCUAAAACUCAACAAGAAAUCUGAGCCAGCCCUUCCCAGCUUUGUAAAUAUCGAAUUCCCUGUAUUUAAUCACUCUUUCGGAGUGAGGCGCCUAUGUCCUGACUGGUGUGAGGCCUUGUCCAUGAUCAUAGUUUAUAACCUGCUUGCUUGUACUUAACAAGACAAAUCUAUUCAAGGGCCAUCGAGUAUUCAAGUUUGGGUGGUCACCUGCUAGCCAACAAUUAGGUUGUUUCCUGGUUUUGCUGUUAUGUCCACACAGUCAAGAACCACCCCCACAGUCCUCAGCUUGGCAAUGAAUCUGUAUGCAAGGUCAGAAGUAUUUACUCAGAACACAUUCUUGAAAUGCAAUGUUUUAGUUGAGAGAAGCUCACUCUUUGAAAGUGCUCAUGUCUAUUUCCAGAGAUGUCAUCUGUGUUUUCUCGUUUUGGCCUGUAGGACAUGAUUCUCUACUUUUUCUUCCAACUCUCUGGCUGUGCCGUCCCCAUUUCAGUGGCUUCUUCCUCCUCCACCAGUCCUAGGGAUAGAACCACUGUUCUACCUCUCAGUCAAGUGCUUUGUGUCCGAGCCACGUCUCCAGCCAACCUGGACUUUUCUCUCUAUUUCUUGGGCAUCGUGCAAACGGUGAGGGAAUCUGAUUGCUUCUGUCUUCAGAAUACAUCCAUGUUUGACUGCUCUUGAGGGCCAUCCAUCACCACCUGCUCAGAACCACAUCCUGUCUCAGCUGGGUUCUGACAGUGGCUUUGGAACCAUUCCCAAGUUGCUCAGAUUCUCCGCAGUAGCCGGAGAUCUUGCUAAACCAUUAACCAGAUCAUGUCAUGCUUUGCUUGGAACCUUAAACUCUCAUCUCCCUCAGGGAAAAGAAAAAAAAAAACCCACAAAAAACCCAAUACCAUUAUAGCUGUCGUGAAACCCUAACUACCACCCCACAUUGCUCCUUUGCCCUCUUCUCCCCACUCCCUGGUCUCUUGAUCUACCCUACCCCUUGAACCUUCUUGUUUCUCAGAUGUUCCUGGUGAGAGCCCACGAUGAGCACCUGUACCUGCUGUUCAGUCUGCUCACUCAUCCAGAUGUCUACAAGUUGGGCUCCUUUGUCUUGUCAUAUGUCCUUGGGUGGGGACUUCUCUGACUCUCCUGUUUAACAUGGUAGUGUCUAGCAACCCUUUGUGUCCCAUUUCUGGUUUACCCAUAGUACCUAUCACUAUCUAUCUUCAGAAAACAGUGUCUACAAGCUCUAUGUUUAUUGAGUAUAGAUAUGAACUUGGGACAUUUUCUGAGCCUGCUGUUCCCCUUGUGCUAUUGAGAAGGCUCCAAUAUAGACUAAUUUCUCCUUCCCUCCCUCCUCUCUCCCCCUCCCUCCUUCUUUUCCUUUCCUUUCUUUAUUUCAUAUUUUAGGCAAGGUCUUGCCUAUAGCCCUGACUGGCCUGGAACUUGCUAUGUAGACAACCUGGCCUUGAUAACUCACAGUUAUCCUCCUGCCUCUGCCUCCCAAGGGCUAGGAUUACAGGUAUUUGCUAUCAUGCCUGGCUUCCAAUGUGAACUAUUUGUGAAGCAUAUUACAAUGUCACUUAACCUUAGGGGACUCUGGCCAGGGCAAAUGAUGGAAGGCAGAACGUAUCACUUCUCUGUGAACCUUCUGGUUGGUGAUCUGCUGUUGUUUUUAAUAUGUGAAACGAGGGAAAUAACAACCAUUACAUAGGGUUGUCGUUGGAAUUGCGUGAACUAACUCAUGAAAAUAAUCAUCAAGCAUCUGUCAUGUGUUAAUCAUUAAGUAACUGCAAGCCAGUUUAUUCUCACUUUGUAGUAGAGGGAUCUAAAGCUCAGAAAGUUUAGGAUGGUAACCCCAGGUUUCAGAGUGAAGGUUGAACUCAGGACUGGUGAUUACACAGCUGGUUCUGCUAAGUCAAACCCAUACAGUGACCUAAAUAAGGUCGUGGGACUCUUUCCUAAGGCAAGAGAGCAGUGCUGUCUCUUGUCUGAAUCCUUCCAGCAUUCCAACCAAGCCAUCAGAUGAUCUCUGCUUGAACAUCUCCAGGCCGGGGACACUCACUGCCUCCUGUUUCCGUGUCUGGAGCGGAGUAUACAGAUAAUCAUACCAUUUGUCACGAUAUGGGAUGGAGACAACAGAUAGAGCUAGGGAUAGUGGAACAUUUCUAUAAUUCCGUUACUCACAAGGCUGAGGCAGGAGGAUUGUUGAGAGUUUAAGAGCCGUCUAUGCUGCACAGAGAGACCUUAUCUCAAAAAUAAAACCAAAUAAUCUGGGCAUGGUGGUGCACACCUUUAAUCCCAGCAUUCAGGAGGCACAGGCAGAGGCAGAGGCAGGCAGAGCUCUGUGAGUGUGAGGCCAGCCUGGUCUAUAUGAUGAGUUCCAGGCCAGCCAGGGCUAUGACAUUCACAUUUACAAAGACAAUAUUAGAUCCCCACUAAAUGUCUACCCACUUUACUUUCUUUACCAAACGGUCCCUCACUUUGCCUUGCUUCCUGUCCAGUGGUCUGGGUUGCCCUGUGGCUUCAGAUCCUCUCUGUCUUGGCUCCCUGACAGACCCUGCAGCCAUCUUGGUGCCUAUCCUGUCUGUUAGGCAGCCUUGACAUGUAAGCUUGGAUCUGGGCCUCACUCUACCCUGUAAUGGGACCCUGGAGGAAGGCUGGCUUUGGAGACUGGGGCCACCUGUCUAGUAGUUCUAAAGGAUCUGUGAGCAUAGUGAGUAACAGGGCCCAAAGCAAGAAACAUGGCUCAGUUACCACUCUGAAAGUCACUUUUAGUUAAUGCCUGGCUGUAUGACUAUCCCUGUCCUGGAUCUUAGCAAAUAUGACCCCUGAGGGCAAGCCUUGUCUACAGGGUAAUGGAGGGCUAAUGUAGUAGGUUGGGGCAAACCGCAGGCUAGGACUCUAUGGCUCUCUUUAGGGCUGUAACUGCUCUCUCUAGUCCUCAAUUAGUUAGAGUGGAGAUUGCCACCAUGUCCCCCAUUUUAUAGAGGAUAUGCUAGGUGGAGAUGGGAUAGUUUGCCCCCAGUGUUAGCCAGGCCAGGGCCAGGGUAGGGUUUCCCUCAGAAGGCUGGAGCCAGUCUGGGGUGGAGCCCCUUGCCCUGCUGUGUGGGAGCUAACACAUCCAAGCUUCUUCUACUGCUGCUGGGAAACUUUCCACAAGGCAACCGCUCCAGAAACUCGCAAGGAUCAAAGUGUGGCUGAGAAUUCAAAGAAAACAAGACUACAGAGGUCUGCAUUCUCUGUGCCCCACUUCAUCCCAGGAAAGCCUGGGGUGGCAGUGCUCCUCUGUUGCUCUCCUCUGACCCUGGCCUUCAUUUCUUCUCAUCUUCAGAGAACCUUCCCCGAGUCCGCCCCAAUACCCAAGCUUCUUUCAAUAAAAUAAUGCAGUAAUUUUAUUAUUACCCGGUACUCACUGGCUUUGGACUGCCGGAUACAGGUAGGCAUCGGGUGGGUGAGGCCCCAGCCAUGGAGACAGAUGGUGCCCGGAGGGAGAGAUUCAAUUACCUGCUUCUUUCCCAAAGCAAAUCCGCCUGGUAAGUGGGUUAUAACUUGUUAUUGAGAGGCCUCCCCUCCAUGCUGCUGGAGAUUUGGUUUGUUGGUGGCUUAUUAAGUUUGCCGGAGGCCAGAGAUGGAUGGAUUAGUCCCAACUCAGAAGUCAAGGAAGGACUCAGGAGGGAGGCAGCAGAAGGUCGGAGCUGUGGGUCAGUCAGGGCCAAGUUAGAGCUUGGGUGAGG